rnacentral:rRNA from 1 species
AUUGAACGCUGGCGGCAUGCUUUACACAUGCAAGUCGAACGGUAACAGGCCGCAAGGUGCUGACGAGUGGCGAACGGGUGAGUAAUGCAUCGGAACGUGCCCAGUCGUGGGGGAUAACUACUCGAAAGAGUAGCUAAUACCGCAUACGAUCUAUGGAUGAAAGCGGGGGACCGUAAGGCCUCGCGCGAUUGGAGCGGCCGAUGUCAGAUUAGGUAGUUGGUGGGGUAAAGGCUCACCAAGCCAACGAUCUGUAGCUGGUCUGAGAGGACGACAGCCACACUGGGACUGAGACACGGCCCAGACUCCUACGGGAGGCAGCAGUGGGGAAUUUUGGACAAUGGGCGCAAGCCUGAUCCAGCAAUGCCGCGUGCAGGAAGAAGGCCUUCGGGUUGUAAACUGCUCUUGUACGGAACGAAACGGCUCUGGUUAAUACCCGGGGCUAAUGACGGUACCGUAAGAAUAAGCACCGGCUAACUACGUG